CUUCUGCGAGGAUGCGACGUGGUCCGAGCGAGCGACGGUGAGGAAGCCGGUGUGAAUCCGGCACGGUCGGCGCCACUGUGACCGGGGAGCGUUCUUCCCGCGAGACUGGUCACCGGAGGUAUCCGGGAAGGCCGGAAGAACGCCGUGAUCCGGGAGUCAGGACACUGCCGUCGCCGCGUUCCGCAA
rfam:Actinopolyspora erythraea strain YIM90600 genomic scaffold Scaffold2, whole genome shotgun sequence.